GAUGAACGCUGGCGGCGUGCCUAAUACAUGCAAGUCGAGCGAACAGACGAGGAGCUUGCUCCUCUGACGUUAUCGGCGGACGGGUGAGUAACACGUGGAUAACCUACCUAUAAGACUGGGAUAACUUCGGGAAACCGGAGCUAAUACCGGAUAAUAUAUUGAACCGCAUGGUUCAACAGUGAAAGACGGUUUUGCUGUCACUUAUAGAUGGAUCCGCGCCGCAUUAGCUAGUUGGUAAGGUAACGGAUUACCAAGGCAACGAUGCGUAGCCGACCUGAGAGGGUGAACGGCCAGACUGGAUCUGAGACACGGUCCAGACUCCUACAGGAGGCAGCAGUAGGGAAUCUUCCGCGAUGGGCCAAAGCCUGACGGAGCAACGCCGCGUGAGUGAUGAAGGUCUUCGGAUCGUAAAGCUCUGUUAUUAGGGAAGAACAAAUGUGUAAGUAACUAUGCACGUCUUGACGGUACCUAAUCAGAAAGCCACGGCUAACUACGUG
rnacentral:rRNA from 1 species